UUUAAUUCUUAUUAAAAUUAAUUGUAAAUAGUUGUUCUAAUCUGAAUACAAAUUCUCAUAAGUUGACCACUUUAUUGAUAUUUCACAUUUUAGAGAUAUAUAAUUAACUCUUAUUUACUAAGAGUACAAUACAUAAUAUUCAAAUGGAAACAACUCUUACUCCCAAUUUGUUACUGCAUAAUCGCUUAUUUAUUUCAGCUUCCCAUAGAUUCUAUUUAUUUGAGACUGAUCGAAUGCUCCAUUGCUCUUGAUUACAUAUUAUAAAACUAUAGAUUUACAUGUUAACAAUGAUGUACAAACAGUAACAUACAUGAAAAAUGAAAAAUGAAAUAUUUUCCUUUAAGAACAAAAAACUUUUGUUAAUUUUCUUACCUGAAACAGUGACCAACACAAUGCAAAAAAGCCCCAAUAGAAGAGACUGGCAAAUGAGCUUUGCCAUCUUUGUUUGAAGAUUUUCUUACAACUCUAUUUUCUCUUGUUC
rnacentral:lncRNA from 1 species